GGUUAAAUCUGUAGAGUAAAAGCAAAAGAGGGAAGGGGAUGGGAAGAGAAAGAACCCAAAAAGGAAGAGGGAAAAUUGGAAGUGUUCCUUCCGAUUCAGUGUUUUAUCGAUUAAAAUUGUGUAUUUAUGGGUCGAAGUUAUGGUGCGUUCAUUUCUUCACUCAAUUCUCGAUUUGGGUGCUUGUUUUUGCUGCAAUUCUUCCUCAUAAUUGGUGGUAGUGAAUGCUAGGGAAAGGGAUUGAGAAGAUGGGGAACACCCUUCUGCUCAAUUGAAUUAUGAGAACACGAACGAGUGUGGUGAACCAAUACUUGAGUAUUCUGUGGGUUUUAUUGAUACUCAUCUUGUGGCUUUCGUCUCCCCAGUAGAGGUCAUAAUACAAUGAAUGAUGAGGAAGUGUUGAACACACCAAGGACAUCUGUGAAGCUCUCUUGGAACCAUGGUGGCAAGCAAGUGGCUAUCAUUGGGUCAUGGGAUAACUGGGAGACAAGGGAGAUCUUGCAGAGCAUAGGGAAAGAUUUUAUCGUUGUCAAAACGCUUCCCUCGGGGAUCUACCAUUACCGAUUCAUUGUUGAUGGAUGGUUGACACAUGCUCCUGAUUUGCCAUGGGUUUUUGAUGAUUCAGGAAAUUCUUACAAUAUUCUUGACUUGAUGACACCUGUCUCGGAAUUGCCCGAAAGUCUGUCCGAGUUUGAAUUUCCUCCAUCCCCACCAUCUACUUAUGACAACGAACACUUCAACGACGAUGAUUUCAGUAGGCCUCCACCGGAUCUACCACCACAACUGCGAGAGACUAUUUUGAACGAAUCAUCUCGCUGCAUAAGCGGUCAGCAGUCUGGCGUGCAGCCUCGACACACCGAGUUAAAUCAUUUAUACCAAAAUAACGUUGGAGGUGAAUUCAUGGCACUUGGUUCAACAUUCAGCUUGCCUUAAAGAUGACUUUGAGGAAGGAGAUGAGACGCUCUACCUCUUUACAAAUACGAGAAAUCACUUAGGACAAGAGGUGUUGACAACUUGAGCCUUGACUGCCUGGUUUUGGAUCAAAUCAGCUCCUAGGAUAUAUGUCUCUGCUUUUCCCUGGAUCAUGUCAUCACCAUUCGCUCUAUGGCAAUGGAGUUCUUCGUCCUUUUUCGACGUCCCGUUCUUUCCGAACUGAUUUCUG